rnacentral:rRNA from 1 species
AUUGAACGCUGGCGGCAGGCCUAACACAUGCAAGUCCAGCGGAGCGGCGGACGGGUGAGUAAUGCCUAGGAAUCUGCCUGGUAGUCGGGGCUAACGUCCGGAAACGGGCGCUAAUACCGCAUACUAUCAGAUGAGCCUAGGUCGGAUUAGCUAAGUGGUGGGGUAAAGGCCUACCAAGGCGACGAUCCGUAACUGGUCUGAGAGGAUGAUCAUUCAAGGUGGAACUGAGAGACGGGCCAGACUGCUACGGGAGGCAGCAGUGGGGAAUAGUGGACAAUGGGCGGAAGCCUGAUCCAGCCAUGCCGGUUGGGUGAAGAAGGUCUUCGGAUUGUGAAGCACGUUAAGUUGGGAGGCGUUACCAACAGAUUGAGCACCGGCUAACUUCGUGCGAGCUGCCGCGGUAAUUC